rnacentral:tRNA from 1 species
AAGAAUUUAAGUUAAACAAACUAUUGACCUUCAAAGUCUAAAUUAAAUUACAAAUUUAAUUCUUA